rnacentral:rRNA from 1 species
GUCGGCCGAAUGUCCGCAGUCCCGAAUGGCGCGCCCUUCGCGGCGUCCCGCGGCGUGGUAGGCAACCCCCGUCGCGGUCCCCGCCGGUCUCCCUCGUCGUCUCGAGGGUCUCCCGUUCGCGCUCGGCUCCCUCGCGGUGUCCGUUCGCGUGUGGGUCGCGCCAUGGUCCGCCGUCGUCGUGUCCUUCCGGUCCGGCGUGGCGCGGUUCUGCCCCGCGGAAGCGCUUGCCCCCCCCCCUUGACCUCAGAUCAGACAGGGCUACCCGCUGAACUUAAGCAUAUUACUAAGCGGAGGAACAGAAACUAACUAGGAUUCCCGUAGUAACGGCGAGCGAACCGGGAACAGCCCAGCUUGAAAAUCCGGGAGCCCCGCUCCCCGAAUUGUAGUCUAGAGAGGCGCCCUCUGCAGCGGGCCGGGCCCAAGUUCCCUGGAAAGGGACGUCGGAGAGGGUGAGAGCCCCGUCGCGCCCGGCUGCUGCUGCUCCACGAGGCGCCGUCGCUGAGUCGGGUUGUUUGAGAUUGCAGCCCUAAUCGGGUGGUAAACCCCAUCCAAGGCUAAAUACGGGCGAGAGACCGAUAGCGAACAAGUACCGUGAGGGAAAGAUGAAAAAGGCCCUAAGACAGGGCGUGAAAAGAUCCUGAAACCGGAUAUUAAGAAUCAGUCAAUGCAUGGAAUUUAUUUCUAUUCGAAUUUAUUUCUAUGCUAUGGCGUACCUUUUGCAUAAUGGGUCAGCGAGUUCAUGAAUUCAGCAAGCUUAAACGUAUAGUGGAGGCGCUCUGAAAAAGAAAGUAAUAAAAAUAUAAUUAAAAAUAUAAAAUAAAAGUUGUGUUCAUGAUACCCGAAUCCGAGUGAUCUAGCCAUGGUCAGGUGGAAGAAAUUUGAAAUAUAAUUUUGGAAGACCGAACCCACAUGUGUUGCAAAACAUGGGGAUGAAUUGUGGCUAGGGGUGAAAGGCUAAUCAAACUCGGGGAUAGCUGGUUUUCCGCGAAAUCUAUUGAGGUAGAGCCUGAUAUUAUCUUCUGCAGGUGUAGAGCACUCGUUGCAUGCGGGUGGCCCAAAGCUUGACCAAGUGCAUGGAAACUCCGAACACUGCUGUUAAGAAAAAUCAGAGACAGAACUUGGGUGCUAAGGUCCAAGCUCAAAAGGGAAACAGCCCAGACUGUUCGCUAAGGUCUCUCAGCGAUUAUCUUAUAGUGAAAAAGGCCUGGAGAAAAGCGAUAACUAUUAGACGGUGGGCUUAGAAGCAGCCAUCCGUGAAAGAAAGCGUAACAGCACACUAGUAGAGUUUUUCUCUGCCGAAAAUGAAAGGAGACUGAAGAAAUCCACCGAAGCGACAGAGAAAUAUAUAUAUAUAUUUCUGGUAGCGGAACGUUUCGAAUCUAUAAUAAGAGGGUUUUUCGUAAGAAAUUCUUCUCGAGCUCGAAAGUGAGAAUGCUGACAUGAGUAACGAUUUUCUGUGAAAGACAGAAUAACCGAAAGCUUACGGGGUUCCACUAUCGGAGAAUCCAAGUGGAUCAAGACGGACCCUAAAAAAGUGAGCGCUUCCUGCUCAAUUCUUUUGAUGGGAUUUUUUUAUUUUAUUUUAGUGACGAAAUGAGUUUAUUUUUUUCUUCUUUUUAGAAUCGGAAACAAAGAAAAAAAUAGGGUUAUUUCCAGGAAAUAGCGCAUACUUAAAUAAAAAUACCGUACCCUUAACCAACACAGGUAAGCACGUAGAGCAAACGAAGGUUAUUUGAGCAAACCAUGCUGAAGGAACUCGGCCAAUUGAUCCAGUAAGUUUACGCUUACUGGAUACUAUUUAUUUCCUAAAUAGUGUCACAAACUAGGGGGCGGCGACUGUUUAUUAAAAACACAGGACUCUGCGAACUCGAAAGAGGAUGUAUAGGGUCUGACACCUGCCCGGUGCUGGAAGAUGAACCAAAGAAGGUAAUAAAAAACGCUUUUUUUAUUAAGUCCCAGUAAACGGCGGCAGUAACUCUAACUGUCCUAAGGUAGCGAAAUUCCUUGUCGGGUAAGUUCCGACCCGCACGAAAGGCGUAACGAUCUGGGCGCUGUCUCGGAGAGAGACUCGGCGAAAUAGACAUGUCUGUGAAGAUGCGGACUACCUGCACCUGGACAGAAAGACCCUAUGAAGCUUUACUGUAACCUGGAAUUGGGUUUGGGCUCUUCUUGCGCAGCUUAGGUGGAAGGCGUUGAAGGUAUCCUUCCGGGGAUACUGGAGCCAACAGUGAGAUACCACUCUGGAAGAGCUAGAAUCCUAAUCUUACGCCGUAACCCGGCUAAGAGACAUUUUCAGGCGGGCAGUUUGACUGGGGCGGUCGCCUCCUGAAAAGUAACGGAGGCGUACAAAGGUAAGCCAAAAUAGAUAAACUAUGCGCAAUGGCAGAAGCUUGCCUGACUGCAAGAAAAACAGUUCGAGCAGAGACGAAAGUCGGUCAUAGUGAUCCGGGGUUUCCUUGUGGAUGGGACCCCGCUCAACGGAUCAAAGGUACGCCGGGGAUAACAGGCUGAUGACUCCCAAGAGUUCCCAUCGACGGAGUCGUUUGGCACCUCGAUGUCGACUCAUCACAUCCUGGAGCUGAAGAAGGUUCCAAGGGUUCGGCUGUUCGCCGAUUAAAGUGGUACGUGAGUUGGGUUUAGAACGUCGUGAGACAGUUCGGUUCCUAUCUACCGUUGGAAAAUAAGCACAUUAGUGUGUUAAAAAGUUGUGGAGGCUCUUCUUUAGUACGAGAGGACCAAGAAGAAUCAACCCUGGGUGAACCGAUUGUUCUACCAAGAGCAUCGUCGGGAAGCUAAGUUGAUAUUAUAGUUGUGAGAAAGUCUGAUGUUCUUCUAAGACUGAAUCAUUCUCCAAAAAGCUUUUUUCUUACAUAAUAGACUAUUAUGAUAUUAGGAGUUUUGAAAAGUGUACCAACUGUAAAGUUAUUUUUAGCUUACAUUCCUAAUAAAAUUUUCCU